UCGUUUACUGCUGAAGUGUGAGUAUGCUCAACCUGAAUCUGACUCUCAACGACCUUCCUGCCUGGCGAUAGAGGGCCAACAGCCUUAUGGGUAACGUUACAGUCACGCCGCGAGUUAUUAUGGGAAAUGUAGUUUUACAGCAGACGUCUCAAAAGUCACGUACACUGAGACACAACAAUCAGAGUGAAUUUCGCGAGAAUAGCGAAGACUUGACUUGAAUAAUUAAUAUCCAAAUCAUUGUGCUACAAGUUUGAUCCCAGCAGAAAAUAGACCUUGGCUCUGACUGAAUGAACUGGAAAAGCAAGGACUUCUUAGAUUUCUCUUCGCCCACAACCGAGCAGAGACUGCAGGAUAAAAGAAAGCGUUACAUUCCUGACAAGACAGACUACAGUUUCCAUCUAAUCUUCUGGCUGUUGAUCUGAAGGCCUGUAGGGAGCAGUGUUGCGCAGACUCUGCCUCUAUGCCAGAGAUCAAGCUUCCCAAAUCAGAAUGUGCCUAAAAACCACCUAUAGCCCUAUUCUGCCUACAGGAAUAACUCCCAUUAUCUAUGUCUCCUGAGGCACUCUAAAAAUUAAAGUUCUGAAACAUUCCGCCCAAUCAAGCAAGCAUGGAUAGUCAUCAAUAUUUUUGGACCAUUUUUCCCAGAAGAGAAGAGUUGUACAUUUUAAAUGACAUUUUAAAGGGAUUUUGGGGGUAUGUUAGCAUUAGUGUGGUAUAAAAACUGACAUUCUGUAUAUAAAGUAAGAGCCAAAAAAUCUCAGUUGAGUUUAUUUCGCAUCUCUUGGGUGUCUCACCCACCUGCAUGGAAAUUCCUCUCAAGAGAAGAGACUUUCAGCAUUUAAAUGUAGAAGCAGAUAAGGUCUGUUAUUUCGAAGACAGUUUGCCCCUCCAGACCUACUGGAAGCAGCAGAAGAGUCAGUCAAGCUAGACGUUUAAGACAAGGUCUACAGGCCAUUAAUUAAACCCUGAACUGAAAAACUAGCCUGGUCUCACUUGAUAGGCAAGGAUGUCAAUGCACUUUCGCAAAAAUCAU